AAAUUGAAGAGUUUGAUCAUGGCUCAGAUUGAACGCUGGCGGCAGGCCUAACACAUGCAAGUCGAACGGUAACAGGAAGCAGCUUGCUGCUUCGCUGACGAGUGGCGGACGGGUGAGUAAUGUCUGGGAAACUGCCUGAUGGAGGGGGAUAACUACUGGAAACGGUGGCUAAUACCGCAUAACGUCGCAAGACCAAAGAGGGGGACCUUCGGGCCUCUUGCCAUCAGAUGUGCCCAGAUGGGAUUAGCUUGUUGGUGAGGUAACGGCUCACCAAGGCGACGAUCCCUAGCUGGUCUGAGAGGAUGACCAGCCACACUGGAACUGAGACACGGUCCAGACUCCUACGGGAGGCAGCAGUGGGGAAUAUUGCACAAUGGGCGCAAGCCUGAUGCAGCCAUGCCGCGUGUAUGAAGAAGGCCUUCGGGUUGUAAAGUACUUUCAGCGGGGAGGAAGGUGUUGCGGUUAAUAACC
rnacentral:rRNA from 2 species